rnacentral:rRNA from 1 species
GCCCAGACUCCUACGGGAGGCAGCAGUGGGGAAUAUUGGGCAAUGGGCGCAAGCCCGACCCAGCAACGCCGCGUGAAGGAAGAAGGCUUUCGGGUUGUAAACUUCUUUUAUCAGGGACGAAGCAAGUGACGGUACCUGAUGAAUAAGCCACGGCUAACUACGUGCCAGCAGCCGCGGUAAUACGUAGGUGGCGAGCGUUAUCCGGAUUUACUGGGUGUAAAGGGCGUGUAGGCGGGAAUGCAAGUCAGAUGUGAAAACUAUGGGCUCAACCCAUAGCCUGCAUUUGAAACUGUAUUUCUUGAGUGCUGGAGAGGCAAUCGGAAUUCCGUGUGUAGCGGUGAAAUGCGUAGAUAUCAGGAGGAACACCGGCGGCGAAGGCGGCCUGCUGGACCGUAACUGACGUUGAGGCUCGAAAGCGUGGGGAGCAAACAGGUUUAGAUACCCCAGUAUA